GUUUGAUUAUGGCUCAGGACGAACGCUGGCGGCGUGCCUAAUACAUGCAAGUCGAGCGGAUUGAUGGGAGCUUGCUCCCAUCAGUCAGCGGCGGACGGGUGAGUAACACGUGGGUAACCUGCCUGUAAGACUGGGAUAACUCCGGGAAACCGGGGCUAAUACCGGAUAACUCAUUUCCUCGCAUGAGGAAAUGUUGAAAGGUGGCUUUUCGCUAUCACUUACAGAUGGACCCGCGGCGCAUUAGCUAGUUGGUGAGGUAACGGCUCACCAAGGCGACGAUGCGUAGCCGACCUGAGAGGGUGAUCGGCCACACUGGGACUGAGACACGGCCCAGACUCCUACGGGAGGCAGCAGUAGGGAAUCUUCCGCAAUGGACGAAAGUCUGACGGAGCAACGCCGCGUGAGUGAUGAAGGUUUUCGGAUUGUAAAACUCUGUUGUUAGGGAAGAACAAGUACCGUUCGAAUAGGGCGGUACCUUGACGGUACCUAACCAGAAAGCCACGGCUAACUACGUGCCAGCAGCCGCGGUAAUACGUAGGUGGCAAGCGUUGUCCGGAAUUAUUGGGCGUAAAGCGCGCGCAGGUGGUUCCUUAAGUCUGAUGUGAAAGCCCACGGCUCAACCGUGGAGGGUCAUUGGAAACUGGGGGACUUGAGUGCAGAAGAGGAAAGUGGAAUUCCAAGUGUAGCGGUGAAAUGCGUAGAUAUUUGGAGGAACACCAGUGGCGAAGGCGACUUUCUGGUCUGUAACUGACACUGAGGCGCGAAAGCGUGGGGAGCAAACAGGAUUAGAUACCCUGUAGUCCACGCCGUAAACGAUGAGUGCUAAGUGUUAGGGGGUUUCCGCCCCUUAGUGCUGCAGCUAACGCAUUAAGCACUCCGCCUGGGGAGUACGGUCGCAAGACUGAAACUCAAAGGGAAUUGACGGGGGCCCGCACAAGCGGUGGAGCAUGUGGUUUAAUUCGAAGCAACGCGAGACCUUACCAGGUCUUGACAUCCUCUGACAACCCUAGAGAUAGGGCUUUCCCCUUCGGGGGACAGAGUGACAGGUGGUGCAUGAUGUCGUCAGCUCGUGUCGUGAGAUGUUGGUAGUCCCGCACGAGCGGCAACCCUUGAUCUAGUUGCCCAGCAUUCAGUUGGCACUCUAGAUGACUGCGAUGACAACCCGGAAGAAAGGUUGGGAUUACGUUCCAAAUCACUCAGUGC
rnacentral:rRNA from 1 species